AACUAGUUUUGAAGUGGUGAUGAUUGUUAGUGGUAAUCUCGCAAGUAUAAUUGCCCAUAGAUCAUCUGUUAAGAAAAUCAUCUCCUUCUUCUUCUUCUUCUCUUCUUUGUCUCCAUCCCAACUCUGUUCUGUCUACGUUCUCGUUUACUAUAUAUAAAUAAGGAAAAAAUACACACGGGAUAAAACUAAGCAAAAUAUAUCCAACCGAAAAUAAAUAAAUUAUAUCCAACUUUUAGCCUUUAGGCCAUAAAUAUGUUUUCAGA
rnacentral:sRNA from 1 species